rfam:Mus musculus chromosome 4, GRC primary reference assembly.
GCAUGCUUAGGCAACACAUAUACUAAAAUUGGAACAACACAGAGAAAAUUAGCAGGGCCCCUGUAUAAGGAUGAUAUGCAAGUUCAUGAAGCCUUCCAUAUUAAA